UACGAGCUACGAUGUACGUAAUGAUAACUAAGUUUUAACCUUUAUACUAUAAAAGGGAGUUUUACAUUGAAACAGGGAUAUCAUGCCUCCAUGUAGAGGAAGAUAGAAGUGUUUCUGCAGACACCCACUUAGAGAAGUGGUGGUUUAAAACUUUCUUACGUGAUUUACGGCAAUUGUGGCUUUUGA
rnacentral:other from 1 species